rnacentral:rRNA from 1 species
UACGUAGGAGGCGAGCGUUGUCCGGAAUCACUGGGCGUAAAGCGCGUGUAGGCGGGAAGGCAAGUCUGCUGUGAAAGCGCCUGGCUCAACCUCGAGACGUCGGCGGAAACCAUCUGGCUAGAGUCCGGAAGAGGAGAGUGGAAUUCCUGGUGUAGCGGCGAAAUGCGCAGAUAUCAGGAGGAACACCAAUUGCGAAGGCAGCUCGCUGGGACGUUACUGACGCUGAGACGCGAAAGCGUGGGGAGCAAACAGG